rnacentral:rRNA from 1 species
UACAGAGGUCCCAAGCGUUGUUCGGAUUUACUGGGCGUAAAGGGUGCGUAGGUGGCGAGGUAAGUUCGAUGUGAAAUCUCCGAGCUCAACUCGGAAAUGGCAUUGAAUACUAUCCCGCUUGAGGGUCGGAGGGGAGACUGGAAUUCUCGGUGUAGCAGUGAAAUGCGUAGAUAUCGAGAGGAACACCAGUGGCGAAGGCGAGUCUCUGGGACGACUCCUGACACUGAGGCACGAAAGCUGGGGGGAGCAA